CGAUCUGCAACAAUGCCGUUCGCAGAAUCCGAUGGAUCACUCAAAGCGCCGGGGAUGGCCGUGCCAAUGACGUAUGAUCCGCGCUCCGCAGGCUACUGAGCGGGAUCACACUGCGGCUGGAGNNNNNNNCGAUGCCGAUUGAUCCAUGGCGAUAGUCGUCAGCUUGUCGCAGCAUCUGAAGCCUGUCUUGUCGAUGUGAUCGAUGCUGUCGGAGAACUGCCUGAUCUGGCGAUAGUCGAGGUGCCAGAGUCUCCGGCUGAUUCACAUG
rnacentral:misc_RNA from 1 species